rnacentral:rRNA from 1 species
CAUGCAAGUCGAACGGAAAGGCCCUUCGGGGUACACGAGUGGCGAACGGGUGAGUAACACGUGGGUGAUCUGCCCUGCACUUUGGGAUAAGCCUGGGAAACUGGGUCUAAUACCGAAUACACCCUGCUGGUCGCAUGGCCUGGUGGGGGAAAGCUUUUGCGGUGUGGGAUGGGCCCGCGGCCUAUCAGCUUGUUGGUGGGGUGAUGGCCUACCAAGGCGACGACGGGUAGCCGGCCUGAGAGGGUGUCCGGCCACACUGGGACUGAGAUACGGCCCAGACUCCUACGGGAGGCAGCAGUGGGGAAUAUUGCACAAUGGGCGCAAGCCUGAUGCAGCGACGCCGCGUGAGGGAUGACGGCCUUCGGGUUGUAAACCUCUUUCAGUAGGGACGAAGCGUGAGUGACGGUACCUAUAGAAGAAGCACCGGCCAACUACGUGCCAGCAGCCGCGGUAAUACGUAGGGUGCGAGCGUUGUCCGGAAUUACUGGGCGUAAAGAGCUCGUAGGUGGUUUGUCGCGUUGUUCGUGAAAACUCACA